AAGCAGAGCUCUGUGCCCUGUGUGCCUGGCUGCGGGAGGACCCAGAGUCGGGCUGGCCUGCGCCAGGCAGACAGGCUGGUGUGGGGCUGUGGCCGGGCACUCUCCACCCGCCCCAGCAGGCUGCCGUCCCGCAGGAGCGAGUCCCGAGGCGCCGUGCGCAUCAAGGUGCUGGACGUGCUGUCCUUUGUGCUGCUCAUCAACAGGCAGUUCUAUGAGGAGGAGCUGAUUAACUCAGUGGUCAUCUCGCAGCUCUCCCACAUCCCCGAGGAUAAAGACCACCAGGUCCGAAAGCUGGCCACCCAGUUGCUGGUGGACCUGGCAGAGGGCUGCCACACACACCACUUCAACAGCCUGCUGGACAUCAUCGAGAAGGUGAUGGCCCGCUCCCUCUCCCCACCCCCGGAGCUGGAAGAAAGGGAUGUGGCCGCAUACUCGGCCUCCUUGGAGGAUGUGAAGACAGCCGUCCUGGGGCUUCUGGUCAU
rnacentral:sRNA from 1 species